rnacentral:tRNA from 1 species
UCUAAUAUGGCAGAAAAACAAUGCAAUAGAUUUAAGAUCUAUUAAUAAAGAAUAAUCUUUUUUUAGAA